UAACCACAAUGACACAAGUGAAAUACCGAUGUCAUCAUUUUCUUCAAUGAUAAUGAAUAUUAAAAUGUAAAUUUUUUAUAACGAGUCGGCCAGUUGCACGUACAAAGGUUUUUGUUUCCUGGGUGAGUAGGGCGCAUGACGUCCAUAUAAUAUACCAUAUACAAAUCACGUAACGAGAACGGAUUUUACCAAACUUCAAUAUUGGAAAUUGGAACUAUUGACUCGCACUCAUCAUGACUUUUGCAGUCUUUCUAUUUCUGUCGAUUACAAUUUCAGUUGCAACUGGACGGAGUGACAGGAGAGUUGCUUGCUUUGAAAGCUGUUUAAAAUUGCUUGAAGAAACUUCAACGUCAGUAAUGAUAUUAAGUGGUAGAGAAGUUCGGCGUUUGUUUGAGGAGAGAGAAUGUGCUUGCUUUCUUCAUAACGAUAGUAUCGACGAAUCUUUACGGGUAUUAGGCGUUUUUUAUGUUUAGAGAACAAUCGUUUGUUUUUAUGUCUGGCCAUAGCAAUGUUAGGAGAUUAAUCUUCUUGCUUAUCUCGAUUUUGAAAACGUCAUUAAAAGAGUUAUUAAGAGACUUCGUUUAUUAAAA